rnacentral:lncRNA from 1 species
CUUUCACUUAUCAGACCUUGCUGCGAUAAGCAAACCCCAAUUACAAACCACUCAGACCGCAUAGGGGAAGGUUGUGGGAAGCAUAAACAAACUUUACCUACACCCUCCUGUAAUAAACGUCACAAGGUGAUAUGUGGCAAAAUUAACCAGCAAACAACCCCAGGAUGCGGCCAUACCAAAGAACUCCCUCAAGCUACUUUCCCCAAUAUAAACCCCUCAUUCUUCUCUCCCCUUCCCUGAACCUGCCGAAGUCCCAGAGAAUCUCCUAGACUCUCCCACUGCUGACGACUUCAUCCACCAUCAAAGCCUCCGCCAGGCUCCUCGGCCUAGCCACUGAAGACUGACAAGGCCCAGGGCCCCUGGCCCCCACUGCCAUCACUGCAUGGAGCCCAGUGUAACUCUACUGGUAGCAGUUUUUACAGGACCCUAUCAGCGCUUUCACCCACGGGACAAUACAAAAUAUGAUGCUGCUCCAGGAAUACCAGAGGCUCCAAGAACAGCAGUCCCUACCGUCCAGCCUUCCCCGACAACUGUCGCCCUCUCCCAGUAAGAAGCAGCCAGAUGAUAACAGCACCCCUCUUCCAUUACCUAUUAAAAGUCUGGCAUGAGAGGGACAACUGCCCCGAGAAAGCUUCUUUGUGCUGCCCACCCCUCCCCCAAUGCUCUGCAAUUCUUCUCCAUGCCGCCCACCCUUCCCCAAGCCUCUUUACGUUUCUAAGCCCUUAUGUAGUCGCUACGGUGAAGCCAACAGACUUCACUUAUCAGACCUUGCUGCGAUAAGCAAACCCCAAUAACAAACCAUCCAGACCGCACAGGGGGAGGUUGUGGGAAGCACAAACAAACUUUACUACACCCUCCUGUAAUAAAUGUCACAAGGUGAUAUGUGGCAAAAUUAACCAGCAAACAACCCUGGGAUGCAACCAUACCAAAAAACUCCCUCAAACUUCCCUCCCCAAUAUAAACCCCUCAUUCUGUAAGCUUGGUGCUGCUUCCCUUGACUAUUAAGGGGGCAGCCGACAGGUUAAUAAAAACUUGCUCACCUGA